AUUACAGUAAAAAGUUUGUUAUUUAAACUAAUAAAUUAUGAUCCUUACAGAAAUCCUCACCAAGGAGCCUCUGACCUCUUGAGACAGUGGAAGAAGCCCUGUGGUUCCAGAGAAACUCAAGACCAAAGCUAUCGAGUGGUGCCCCACUGCACCCCCCAACCAAGGAGGAGGCACAGCCUAGAGGACUGGAAGCCUGACUUGCUAUCACAAGAACUUGCAGGAAGAAGACUCCUCUGUUGCUUGGCAAUUCUAAAGGAGAAUCAGCUUGCUCAUUGUUGACAUCC
rnacentral:lncRNA from 1 species